CCUUAACUGUGUUUUAAGUAGAGUUGAGAGAAGAGGAAGACUCAACAAUGUCAAGACCUGAAAGUCACUCCAAGGUAUCUACACUGAUAUGCGGGAGUAAUAAUGCCUUCCUCUAUAUUUCUUGACCAGUGAAGCUUCAAGUUCACCAGAUCAACACCCUGAGGUCAGCCACACCACAACAAUGCAGGAGACAGAGAACCCUGAUAAAUAUAUGCAGUACUGUAACACCUUCUCACAUAGCAGCAUCAAUUAAUAACAACAAUCAAUAUUUUUUUUGUUAUAACACUCCUUCACUAUGCUGUACAAUUAAUGGGAACAGACGGAAACACAAAGCCAUAAAUAAAUAAGAUCAGCAGCUUAAGAGGAAAUAUUUCUCACAAAAAUCUACCCUUCUCCAUUAUUCUCACGACUUGACAUCCUUACCAGUAAAACAAAGUACUGUACUGACCUGAGACACAGAGAGCUUGUCACACAUGUCACAUAUGGAGUGGACAUCAUCAUCGGUCUUGCGGGCUUGAAGAAGUUGGGCAGCCUGGAUGAUGGGAGCAAGAGUGUCUGUGACACCUGACUCGUGGAGUCGCAUAUCACGUGUCCACUGUUCCAGAUGACUUAAGUUAUAACGAAUCUGCAUGCCUUUUGACCAGUGACACAUAUCUUUACGGAGCAACAAGUUGUUCAAAGAUCCAGCACAGAUGAAGUAGAAUAUCUGGAAUGAAAACAAUUACUCAUUAUGAAACAUGUUCCAGACUAUAUUCUUCCAACCUGUCACAAACUACAAGGACAUUAAAUAGCAAAUUUAGGUUAGGUAAUUUAAAAUCUUUAAGAAAACAUUCCUUAAGCAAUUGCAGAAUAGGAUUAUACACGAAGAUGAGUUGUAAGCACUGGACUGUAUUUCACCAAUGGAGGCUGUAUGACAUUAGGAGAGUAACAAUCAGUAUAAGGACAAAUACAGCUUUAAAAAAGUGACUAAAUGGAAUAAGAUAUAAAAAUAGAACAUACAAAAGAAUGCCAAGUUUUCAUAUAUACUGUAUAUUGUACUACAGUAUAUAUUUUUGGGCUUGAUCAGAAAUUGGGUAAUCUUGAAAGGAACUUGGAGUCCCUGAUAAAGCAGGUUGGUCUCAACUUAUAACAGGAAGCUUGAUGAACUGAAGUAAUCUUUAUAUAAUUAUUGUUACUGUAUGGCUUGACUUACCUGUCUGAAAACUUGAGUAAUAAGCUCUGGAUCAGUUCCAAACAUUGCAAGUGUGCGAUAGAACUGUGUCAUCUCCUUAAGUAGCAGAUCUAGAGCUUUUUGAGGUUCUACAGGGGAUUCCAGCUCACGGGCUAAACUGCCAGCUCGACCUAGUAAUUUGGAGAGAUAAUAUAUUAAAAACAGCCUAGACAAAUUACAUUCUAAUUCUGGGAAAUGUGAAUGAACAUAACACAAUACUGGCAUGUAGUUCUAAAUGGGCAACUGAAUUACCUACAUACAAAAAAUACUCAAUAGCUGUUCAGUCUUACCCCUGGAACCAGAGUCCUACACACAUUUGAGAUAUAGGUUGUGUAAUUACUGGUACUAAAGCCAUCAAAAGCUAUUAUCCUCACCUCUCAUACCACCCGGCUUGUUGCCUGAGAGACCUGUAAUGGCCUCAUGUUCCAGGAUGGAAGGCACGAUCAAUGGCUGCACUUUUUCCUCCAUUAAUUUAAUCACUCCCUGCAAAGAUGAAUGUUUUUUUUUAUACAUGUGUAAUUACACGGAACAACUGAUCUGAAUGAAUGUAAAAAUUUUACCACUAAUAAAAGUAUAGAUUAAAUAUUGGCACCUUUGGUACAGUAUUAGGACACCAGGGCUGGGGUACAAUUACAUAAGAGAAUCUUUACUGAGAUGUAAGUAAUGGGCAGACUGUGACUAUCAAGAAAAACACUGGAAUAUGUGUACAGUUCUUGUACUGUAUACUCUACUGUACUACCAUACUUAGUUCUAAAACCAUAAUACUUAAGUCCUUAUUAUCCUUUCUUAAAAUAAUACUAAAUGCAUAUAAACAACCUUUAUAAGAGUCCACCUAUAGUAUAGAAAUUGUUAUAAUAAAAUAAUGGGUUCAGAAUGUGGACAAAUAAUGCUUUGCAUCCAUUUGGUGUGAUCAGGUGGUCACAGGUGCCAAAGUACAGUACUAAAUCUAUGACUAAAUCAUCACUCACG